rnacentral:rRNA from 1 species
GAUCAAAAGAAUUAGGGCUUUCGGUGGAUACCUAGGCACUCAGAGACGAUGAAGGGCGCAGUAACCGGCGAUACGUUCCGACGAGUUGGAAACAAGCUAGACUCGGAAAUACCCGAAAUGAGGCAACUCUGAAAACUAUCUGUUGAAUUCAUAAACAGAAAAGAGGCAACCCAGUGAAUUGAAACAUCUUAGUAGCUGGAGGAAAAGAAAGCAAACGCGAUUCCCUUAGUAGCGGCGAGCGAACAGGGAACAGCCUAAACCGGUUAGAUAAUAUCUUUACCGGGGUAGUGGGAAGGUCUUUUAACAUUAAAAAAAUUUUUGAUGAAGCAGCUGAAUCCUGCACCAUAGAUGGUGAAAGUCCAGUAAUUAAAAAAUUAUUAAGUAAUCUUAAAAGUAUUAUUUGUAAUAUAAAUUACUAAUUAUAUAUUAUACACUAUAUAGUGUAAUAAAAUAUUAGUGUAAUAAAAUACAAAUAGUUUUAAGAUAAAACGGUCUUAUCCCAAGUAGCAUGGGGCACGUGGAAUCCCGUGUGAAUCUGCGAGGACCACCUCGUAAGGCUAAAUACUCCUGAGUGACCGAUAGCGAACUAGUACCGUGAGGGAAAGGUGAAAUAGAAUCCCGAGAGGGAAGUGAAAUAGAAAAUGAAACCGGAAGCUUUCAAGCAGUGGGAGUCUUGAAAUAUGAUGACCGCGUGCCUGUUGAAGAAUGAGCCGGCGACUUUUAGGGGGUGGCUGGUUUAGGAAUAAAAACCGAAGCCAAAGCGAAAGCAAGUCUUAACAAAAUUGGGCUAUCAUAUUAUGAUUUGUCACUUCCUAAGGACCCGACCCCGUGUGAUCUAACCACGGCCAGGAUGAAGCUUGGUUAAUCCCAAGUAGAGGUCCGAACCGACCGAUGUUGAAAAAUCGGCGGAUGAGCUAUGGUUAGUUGGUGAAAUGCCAAUCGAACUCGGAGCUAGCUGGAUCUCCCCGAAAUGCGUUGAGGCGCAGCGGUUGAUGAUGAACUGUUUAGGGGUAAAGCACUGUUUCGGUGCGGGCUGCGAAAGCGGUACCAAAUCGUGGCAAACUAAUAAUACUAGAUAUGUAUUUCCAUCAACCAGUGAGACGAUCGGGGAUAAGCUCGAUCGUCAAGAGGGAAACAGCCCAGACCAUCAGCUAAGGCCCCAAAAUGACAGCUAAGUGGCAAAGGAUGUGAAAAUGCGAAAACAACCAGGAGGUUUGCUCAGAAGCAGCCAUCCUUUAAAGAGUGCGUAAUAGCUCACUGGUCCAAGCGUUCUUGCGCCGAAAAUUAUCGGGACUAAGUUGUCUGCCGAAGCUGUGGCUUUAAAUAAUAUGUUUAUUGGGUAGGGGAGCGUUCCGCUCUAGGGUGAAGCACAUUUGUGAUUAUGUGUGGACGAAGCGGAAGUGAGAAUGUCGGCUUGAGUAACGCAAACAUUGGUGAGAAUCCAAUGCCCCGAAAACCUAAGGGUUCCACCGGUAGGGUCGUCCGCGGUGGGUUAGUCAGGACCUAAGGCCAGGCCGAAAGGCGCAGUCGAUGGCAAACAGGUGAAUAUUCCUGUACUAAUUUUAUGUUUGCAGCGAGGGACGAAAUAAGUCUAAACUAAUCCUACUUUGGUUUGUAUGGAUGGAAAUGUUCGAAGAUGCUGUAUGAAUAAAAACAUACCUAAAAGAUCUAAGACAUGAUACGCUAAUAACAAUAUUAAAUGAUUUUUAAGUUAUUUAACUUUUUAUUAGUUAGUUAUUGAUAAUGUUUCCUAGAAAAGCUCCAACUGCUUCUCUUUUUAAGAGGAAUAUAAAAUUACCUGUACCAUAAACCGACACAGGUAGGUGUGAGUAGAGAAUACUCAGGGGCGCGAGAUAACUCUCUCUAAGGAACUCGGCAAAAUAGCCCCGUAACUUCGGGAGAAGGGGUGCCUCUCAGCAAUGAGAGGCCGCAGUGACCAGGCCCAGGCGACUGUUUACCAAAAACACAGGUCUCCGCAAAGUCGUAAGACAAUAUAUGGGGGCUGACGCCUGCCCAGUGCCGGAAGGUGAAGGAAGUUGGUUAUUCAUACCGAAAGGAGAAGAAGCUGAUAACCGAAGCCCCGGUGAACGGCGGCCGUAACUAUGACGGUCCUAAGGUAGCGAAAUUCCUUGUCGGGUAAGUUCCGACCCGCACGAAAGGCGUAACGAUCUGGGCGCUGUCUCGGAGAGAGGCUCGGUGAAAUAGACAUGUCCGUGAAGAUGCGGACUUCCCGCACCUGGACAGAAAGACCCUAUGAAGCUUGACUGUAGCCUGAGAUUGAGUUUGGGUUCAUCUUGCGCAGCCUAGGUGGGAGGUGUUGAUAAUUUACUUGCGGGUAAAUUGGAGCCAUCAGUGAGAGACCACUCUGGACGAGCUAGAAUUCUAAUGGCGAUCCUUGAAUCAGGACGCUUGACAGUCUCAGGUGGGCAGUUUCUUUGGGGCGAAGACCUCCUAAAAGGUAACGGAGGUGUGCAAAGGUUCCUUCAGGCUGGACGGAAAUCAGUCGAAGAGUGUAAAGAUAUAAGGGAGCUUGACUGCAAGACCUACAAGUCGAGCAGGGGCGAAAGCCGGCCUUAGUGAUCCGACGGUUCCGUGUGGAAGGGCCGUCGCUCAACGGAUAAAAGUUACUCUAGGGAUAACAGGCUGAUCUUCCCCAAGAGUUCACAUCGACGGGAAGGUUUGGCACCUCGAUGUCGGCUCGUCGCAUCCUGGGGCGGUAGUACGUCCCAAGGGUUGGGCUGUUCGCCCAUGAAAGCGGUACGUGAGCUGGGUUCAGAACGUCGUGAGACAGUUUGGUCCAUAUCCGGUGUGGGCGUUAGAGCAUUGAAAGGAGCUUUCCAUUGUACGAGAGGACUUGGAAGGCUAUACCUCUGGUGUACCAGUUAUUGUACCUACGGUAAACGCUGGGUAGCUAUGUAUAGAGCGGAUAACUGCUGAAAGCAUCUAAGUAGGAAGCCCACCUUAAGAUGAGUGCUCUCUAAGGUCACGGCAAGACUAGCCGGUUGAAAGGUGUUCAGUGUAAGGUUAGUAAUGGCCUCAGCUUAGACAUACUUAUAGACCUUCGAUUUUGAUC